GAAGAAGAAGAAGAAGAAAAUGGAGAAUAAGCGAUUGAUGUAGAGGGAAAAAGAAAAGUAUUAUUAAAAUCGGGGUUGUAGUUCGCCAUUGAAAGAGAGAUCGAGACCUGGUGCCCCUGCCUGUGCUGAUUCCGGGGAAUGAAAGCUCAGAAGUCAGCAUGCAAGUGUAAACGUAUUGGCGUAUAAAGGCGGAAUCGGAUGCCCUGCCGAUGCUUCCAAGCAAAAUCCAAUUUAGCAAUUACAAG
rnacentral:misc_RNA from 1 species